rnacentral:rRNA from 1 species
UACGUAGGGGGCUAGCGUUGUCCGGAAUCAUUGGGCGUAAAGAGCGUGUAGGCGGCCCGGUAAGUCCGCUGUGAAAGUCGGGGGCUCACCCCUCGAAUGCCGGUGGAUACUGUCGGGCUAGAGUGCGGAAGAGGCGAGUGGAAUUCCUGGUGUAGCGGUGAAAUGCGCAGAUAUCAGGAGGAACACCGAUUGCGAAGGCAGCUCGCUGGGACGUAACUGACGCUGAGACGCGAAAGCGUGGGGAGCAAACAGG